GAGAGAGGCUCGCAGCAACGGAAACUGCUAAUUUUCGUCGCCCGGGUUGGACCCCCGGGCUCACUCGC
rnacentral:tRNA from 1 species